UACCCCCGGGGGAAGUCAAAUCCCC
rnacentral:tRNA from 1 species